rnacentral:rRNA from 1 species
UACGGAGGGGGCUAGCGUUGUUCGGAAUUACUGGGCGUAAAGCGCACGUAGGCGGCUAUUCAAGUCAGAGGUGAAAGCCUGGAGCUUAACUCCAGAACUGCCUUUGAAACUAGAUAGCUAGAAUCAUGGAGAGGUGAGUGGAAUUCCGAGUGUAGAGGUGAAAUUCGUAGAUAUUGGGAAGAACACCAGUGGCGAAGGCGGCUCACUGGCUCGUAACUGACGCUCAGGCGCGACAGCGUGGGGAUCAAACAGG